UACGAGGGAGCAAGCGUUGUUCGGAUUUACUGGGCGUAAAGGGCGCGUAGGCGGCCACGACAAGUCACUUGUGAAAUCUCCGGGCUUAACUCGGAACGGUCAAGUGAUACUGGUCGGGCUAGAGUACAGAAGGGGCAACUGGAAUUCUCGGUGUAGCGGAUGAAUGCGUAGAUAUCGAGAGGAACACCUGCGGCGAAGGCGGCGUUCUGGACUGACAACGUGACACUGAGGAACGAAAGCCAGGGAGCGAACGGG
rnacentral:rRNA from 1 species